rnacentral:rRNA from 1 species
CUUGGUCAUUUAGAGGAAGUAAAAGUCGUAACAAGGUUUCCGUAGGUGAACCUGCGGAAGGAUCAUUCACAAUGAGUGUUUUAUGGCACUCUUUAAAAAUCCAUAUCCACCUUGUGUGCAAUGUUUGUUGGGAGAGAGGCAACUCUUUCCCUUCACAAAUAUCAACCUAUAUCUUUAACAACAUUCGUCUGAUAACAUAUUAUGAAUAUACUUAAUUCAAAAUAUAACUUUCAACAACGGAUCUCUUGGCUCUCGCAUCGAUGAAGAACGCAGCGAAAUGCGAUACGUAAUGUGAAUUGCAGAAUUCAGUGAAUCAUCGAAUCUUUGAACGCAUAUUGCGCUCUUUGGUAUUCCGAAGAGCAUGCUUGUUUGAGUAUCAGUAAACACCUCAACCUCCUCUUGUUUUUUCAAAAGGAGGGUGGACUUGAGCUAUCCCAACAACCUUCACCGGUAGGCGGGCGGCUUGAAAUGCAGGUGCAGCUGGACUUUUAUCUGGGCUAAAAGCAUAUCUAUUUAGUCCUCGUCAAACAGGAUUAUUACUAUUGCUGCAGCUAACAUAAAGGAUAAUUGUCCUCAUUGCUGACUGAUGCAGGAUUUUACGACACUUUAUGUGUUGUUCAACUCGAUCUCAAAUCAAGUAAGACUACCCGCUGAACAUAAGCAUAUCAAUAAGCGGAGGAA